AGAGUUUGAUCCUGGCUCAGGAUGAACGCUAACGACAGGCUUAACACAUGCAAGUCGAGGGGCAGCGGGGGGUAGCAAUACUUCCGCCGGCGACCGGCGCACGGGUGAGUAACACGUAUGGAACCUGCCCGUAGCAGGGGGAUAAGCGGAAGAAAUUCCGUCUAAUACCGCGUAAUAACUCCGAGAGGCAUCUCCUGGGGUUUAAAGGGUAACACCGGCUACGGAUGGCCAUGCGGCGCAUUAGCUAGUUGGCGGGGUAACGGCCCACCAAGGCGACGAUGCGUAGGGGUUCUGAGAGGAAGGUCCCCCACACUGGUACUGAGACACGGACCAGACUCCUACGGGAGGCAGCAGUGAGGAAUAUUGGUCAAUGGGCGCGAGCCUGAACCAGCCAAGUCGCGUGAGGGAAGACGGUCCUAUGGAUUGUAAACCUCUUUUGUCGGGGAGCAAAAGACGCCACGCGUGGCGUUCCGAGAGUACCCGAAGAAAAAGCAUCGGCUAACUCCGUGUCAGCCAGCCGCGGU
rnacentral:rRNA from 1 species